rnacentral:rRNA from 1 species
AUUGAACGCUGGCGGCAUGCCUUACACAUGCAAGUCGAACGGUAACGGGCCUUUGGGUGCCGACGAGUGGCGAACGGGUGAGUAAUGCAUCGGAACGUACCUUUCAGUGGGGGAUAACGUAGCGAAAGUUACGCUAAUACCGCAUAUUCUGUGAGCAGGAAAGCAGGGGAUCGCAAGACCUUGCGCUGAUUGAGCGGCCGAUGUCAGAUUAGCUUGUUGGUGAGGUAAAGGCUCACCAAGGCGACGAUCUGUAGCGGGUCUGAGAGGAUGAUCCGCCACACUGGGAAUGCGACACGGCCAAGACUCCUACGGGAGGCAGCAGUGGGGAAUUUUGGACAAUGGGGGCAACCCUGAUCCAGCCAUGCCGCGUGAGUGAAGAAGGCCUUCGGGUUGUAAAGCUCUUUCGGCCGGGAAGAAAUCGCACAGGCUAAUACCUUGUGUGGAUGACGGUACCGGAAUAAGAAGCACCGGCUAACUACGUGCCAGCAGCCGCGGUAA